rnacentral:rRNA from 1 species
UAAUACGUAGGGAGCAAGCGUUGUCCGGAAUCAUUGGGCGUAAAGCGCGCGUAGGCGGCCCGGUAAGUCCGCUCUGAAAGUCCAGGGCUCAACCCUGGAAUGCGGGUGGAUACUGCCGGGCUAGAGUCCGGAAGAGGCGAGUGGAAUUCCUGGUGUAGCGGUGGAAUGCGCAGAUAUCAGGAGGAACACCAAUAGCGAAGGCAGCUCGCUGGGACGGUACUGACGCUAAGGCGCGAAAGCGUGGGGAGCGAACAGGAUUAGAUACCCUGGUAGUCCACGCCGUAAACGAUGGGCAUUAGGUGUGGGAGGUGUCGACUCCUCCCGUGCCGACGCUAACGCAUUAAAUGCCCCGCCUGGGGAGUACGGCCGCAAGGCUA